rnacentral:misc_RNA from 1 species
GAUGAAGAACGUAGCGAAAUGCGAUACUUGGUGUGAAUUGCAGAAUCCCGUGAACCAUCGAGUCUUUGAAUGCAAGUUGCGCCCGAAGCCAUUAGGCCGAGGGCACGCCUGCCUGGGCGUCACACGUCGUUGCCCCCCCAUCUACUCCUUCGGGAUUGCGGGGGGCGGAUGAUGGCCUCCCGUGCGCCUCGUCGCGCGGUUGGCAUAAAUGCCAAGUCCUCGGCGACGCACGCCACGACAAUCGGUGGUUGCGAAACCUCGGUUGCCCGUCGUGUGCGGUCGUCGCGCAUCGAGGGCUCGAAAAAAUUGCCGAGCUCUGUUUCGGCUUUCAACGCGACCCCAGGUCAGGCGGGGUUACCCGCUGAAUUUAAGCAUAUCAAUAAGCGGAGGA